rnacentral:misc_RNA from 1 species
UAAAGCAUUUUUGAUCUGCAUGUAACCUUGUAUACAGGAUAUUCUACAUUAGGGGAUCUCCAGGAGAGAGCAGAGUCUGAGGAGUAGUUUCAUUUAUAGGCCUUGUAUCAGUUGUAUUUAGGCAGUGUGAAUAUUGCCAUUUUUGCUUGUUGAUAAGUGUUUCUUCUUCUCUCUUUCUUGUAUAUAAGAAUGAAGUCAGUGCUGCAUU